CAUCAACAGUGUUUAGCCCUUGCUCAUAAAAUCUCCCCGGUUUUCCCAAGAGAGGUGUGGGGACACAGGUAGUGCUUCGUAACUCAUAGACAUAGCCUUCCCCACGAGUAAUCCUCUUCAUCAGUUCUGUGUCACCUUGAGUAUUCCAUCAUGCUCGGCAUGUAGUUAUCAAAUAGGAUUAUAUGAUGUGGGGACGGUGCCAUUGACCAAAUACAGAAGAUGCCUGCCUUUGCGUAGGAAGGAGUAGAUAGAAACGGAGACACCUCCUCAGGUUUUCUAGACUUCUUCAAAUGUUUAAGACUGUCCUUUGCCUGCUUUGACUGAUGCUGACCUUCCCACCACCUAGAUGGUUUCAGAGUUGCUGAUGUCACUUCCUUCUUCUUUUCAGGUGAUAUUUUUGCCCUCUCUAGGAGAGAAACACUGGAAUACUAUGCCUGAGAGGAAAGGUCAGCUAAAUUUUCUUAAGAAUAGGACGUCUGGAUGCAGUUUCUUUCCGAAACGGAAGCAUCUCCCCCUAACCAUUCCGAUACUCAAGGGCUGAAUCCUCUGCUAACAUUAAGAACCCCACGGGGGCUCCGAAAACAGGCUGCAGCAAGGGCAAGCCGGACCUGCGAGAAUGAGUUCUUCACUCCACUUUUGUCUGGGCACGCUUCUGCCUUGGACUACAAGGCCUAUCAUUCCAGCCAAGAGCAGCUAUGUUGCAGAAGGAUGGUAGAAUAUGCAUCACAUCUGAAGGGCACCAGCUUGAGGGUCGCCAUCUUGAAGCAUGCUUCGGCAUCAGUUUGACAAAGAGGUAAGUUCUCCUUCUCACAUUAAAAAGAAAGCAAAACACUGAAUGCUUUGAACUCAGAAAUGUAGAAUGCCAUGGAGACAAGGAACAUUCUCCUUGCCAUUCUAGGUUUCCACAGGAGGAGAGUUUUUAUGAGAACUUGGCAGCAUUUAGGUAGAUAGUGCCAGUCUCUAACAUGAAAUAGUCAAGGUGAGUAGUCCUUGGUUUUCUAAACCAUAUAGAUCAAGUCUGAAGAAUGUUUGGCCACCUCCCUCCAUAUUUUUGACUACC
rnacentral:lncRNA from 1 species